AGAGUUUGAUCAUGGCUCAGGACGAACGCUGGCGGCGUGCCUAAUACAUGCAAGUAGAACGCUGAAGAGAGGAGCUUGCUCUUCUUGGAUGAGUUGCGAACGGGUGAGUAACGCGUAGGUAACCUGCCUUGUAGCGGGGGAUAACUAUUGGAAACGAUAGCUAAUACCGCAUAACAAUAGGUGACUCAUGUCAUUUAUUUGAAAGGGGCAAAUGCUCCACUACAAGAUGGACCUGCGUUGUAUUAGCUAGUAGGUGAGGUAACGGCUCACCUAGGCGACGAUACAUAGCCGACCUGAGAGGGUGAUCGGCCACACUGGGACUGAGACACGGCCCAGACUCCUACGGGAGGCAGCAGUAGGGAAUCUUCGGCAAUGGGGGCAACCCUGACCGAGCAACGCCGCGUGAGUGAAGAAGGUUUUCGGAUCGUAAAGCUCUGUUGUAAGUCAAGAACGAGUGUGAGAGUGGAAAGUUCACACUGUGACGGUAGCUUACCAGAAAGGGACGGCUAACUACGUGCCAGCAGCCGCGGUAAUACGUAGGUCCCGAGCGUUGUCCGGAUUUAUUGGGCGUAAAGCGAGCGCAGGCGGUUUGAUAAGUCUGAAGUUAAAGGCUGUGGCUCAACCAUAGUUCGCUUUGGAAACUGUCAAACUUGAGUGCAGAAGGGGAGAGUGGAAUUCCAUGUGUAGCGGUGAAAUGCGUAGAUAUAUGGAGGAACACCGGUGGCGAAAGCGGCUCUCUGGUCUGUAACUGACGCUGAGGCUCGAAAGCGUGGGGAGCGAACAGGAUUAGAUACCCUGGUAGUCCACGCCGUAAACGAUGAGUGCUAGGUGUUGGAUCCUUUCCGGGAUUCAGUGCCGCAGCUAACGCAUUAAGCACUCCGCCUGGGGAGUACGACCGCAAGGUUGAAACUCAAAGGAAUUGACGGGGGCCCGCACAAGCGGUGGAGCAUGUGGUUUAAUUCGAAGCAACGCGAAGAACCUUACCAGGUCUUGACAUCCCGAUGCUAUUUCUAGAGAUAGAAAGUUACUUCGGUACAUCGGUGACAGGUGGUGCAUGGUUGUCGUCAGCUCGUGUCGUGAGAUGUUGGGUUAAGUCCCGCAACGAGCGCAACCCCUAUUGUUAGUUGCCAUCAUUCAGUUGGGCACUCUAGCGAGACUGCCGGUAAUAAACCGGAGGAAGGUGGGGAUGACGUCAAAUCAUCAUGCCCCUUAUGACCUGGGCUACACACGUGCUACAAUGGUUGGUACAACGAGUUGCGAGUCGGUGACGGCAAGCUAAUCUCUUAAAGCCAAUCUCAGUUCGGAUUGUAGGCUGCAACUCGCCUACAUGAAGUCGGAAUCGCUAGUAAUCGCGGAUCAGCACGCCGCGGUGAAUACGUUCCCGGGCCUUGUACACACCGCCCGUCACACCACGAGAGUUUGUAACACCCGAAGUCGGUGAGGUAACCUUUUGGAGCCAGCCGCCUAAGGUGGGAUAGAUGAUUGGGGUGAAGUCGUAACAAGGUA
rnacentral:rRNA from 1 species